rnacentral:rRNA from 1 species
GAGUUUGAUCAUGGCUCACGGAUGAACGCUAGCGGCAGGCCUAACACAUGCAAGUCGAGGGGUACGUUAUAUGCUUGCAUAUAACACGACCGGCGCACGGGUGCGUAACGCGUAUGCAACCUACCCUUUACUGGAGGAUAGCCCGGAGAAAUCCGGAUUAAUACUUCAUGGUACUAUUUGAGGGCAUCUGAGGAUAGUUAAAGAUUUAUUGGUAAAGGAUGGGCAUGCGUGACAUUAGCUAGUUGGUACGGUAACGGCGUACCAAGGCGACGAUGUCUAGGGGUUCUGAGAGGAAGAUCCCCCACACUGGUACUGAGACACGGACCAGACUCCUACGGGAGGCAGCAGUGAGGAAUAUUGGUCAAUGGGCGGAAGCCUGAACCAGCCAUGCCGCGUGCAGGAAGACGGCCUUCUGGGUUGUAAACUGCUUUUAUACGGGAGCAAAAGGGUUCUGCGGAACACAUUGAGAGUAUCGUAUGAAUAAGCACCGGCUAACUCCGUGCCAGCAGCCGCGGUAAUACGGAGGGUGCAAGCGUUGUCCGGAUUUAUUGGGUUUAAAGGGUGCGUAGCGGCGUAAAUCAGUCAGUGGUGAAAGCCGGCCGCUCAACGGUCGAGGUGCCAUUGAAACUGUUAUGCUUGAGUACAGACGAGGUAGCGGAAUUUAUGAUGUA